rfam:Pteropus alecto contig103357, whole genome shotgun sequence.
GUAUGGGUUUGGAUUUAUGGCAGGCCCAUCCCCCAGGGCCUCUCAUAGUGCCCCAUGCCAGAGCAAACUGUAAUCCUGAACCACUGCCUGGCUUCCGUGCCCGCCCGUAGGCUGCAGGUACUGAGGUGGGUUACACAGUG